UACAGAGGUCUCAAGCGUUGUUCGGAUUCAUUGGGCGUAAAGGGUGCGUAGGUGGCGCGGUAAGUCGGGUGUGAAAUUUCGGAGCUCAACUCCGAAACUGCAUUCGAUACUGCCGUGCUUGAGGACUGGAGAGGAGACUGGAAUUUACGGUGUAGCGGUGAAAUGCGUAGAUAUCGUAAGGAAGACCAGUGGCGAAGGCGGGUCUCUGGACAGUUCCUGACGCUGAGGCACGAAGGCCAGGGGAGCAAACAGG
rnacentral:rRNA from 1 species